rnacentral:rRNA from 1 species
AUGAACGCUGGCGGCGUGCCUAAUACAUGCAAGUCGAGCGCACAGAUAAGGAGCUUGCUCCUUUGACGUUAGCGGCGGACGGGUGAGUAACACGUGGAUAACCUACCUAUAAGACUGGGAUAACUUCGGGAAACCGGAGCUAAUACCGGAUAACAUAUUGAACCGCAUGGUUCAAUAGUGAAAGGCGGCUUUGCUGUCACUUAUAGAUGGAUCCGCGCCGUAUUAGCUAGUUGGUAAGGUAACGGCUUACCAAGGCAACGAUACGUAGCCGACCUGAGAGGGUGAUCGGCCACACUGGAACUGAGACACGGUCCAGACUCCUACGGGAGGCAGCAGUAGGGAAUCUUCCGCAAUGGGCGAAAGCCUGACGGAGCAACGCCGCGUGAGUGAUGAAGGUCUUCGGAUCGUAAAACUCUGUUAUCAGGGAAGAACAAAUGUGUAAGUAACUGUGCACAUCUUGACGGUACCUGAUCAGAAAGCCACGGCUAACUACGUG